rnacentral:rRNA from 1 species
GAUGAACGCUGGCGGCGUGCUUAACACAUGCAAGUCGAGCGAGUGAGUUCUUCGGAACGAUCUAGCGGCGGACGGGUGAGUAACACGUGGGCAACCUGCCUCAUAGAGGGGAAUAGCCUUCCGAAAGGAAGAUUAAUACCGCAUAACAUCGUUGAAGGGCAUCCUUCGAUGAUCAAAGGAGCAAUCCGCUAUGAGAUGGGCCCGCGGCGCAUUAGCUAGUUGGUGAGGUAACGGCUCACCAAGGCGACGAUGCGUAGCCGACCUGAGAGGGUGAUCGGCCACAUUGGGACUGAGACACGGCCCAGACUCCUACGGGAGGCAGCAGUGGGGAAUAUUGCACAAUGGGGGAAACCCUGAUGCAGCAACGCCGCGUGAGUGAUGACGGCCUUCGGGUUGUAAAGCUCUGUCUUUGGGGACGAUAAUGACGGUACCCAAGGAGGAAGUCACGGCUAACUACGUGCCAGCCGCCGCUGUAAUAC